CCACAACAGCAGCAGUAUUAUCUUUUCUUUAUCUUACCUUUAUCUUUUCAAACAUUGUUUAUUUCUUAUUUGUACUUCUAAACUUUGUUAACAACCUUAGAAUGCUUUAAUUUAAAUAUUAGACUCAAUAGAGACCAUAUUACUUAUGGGUGUAGUUAUGGCCUAUGGUACAAUAGGUCGGUUGUGGACUUUGUGUUGUUGUGGAUUUAUUUAUAUUUAUAUAUUGAGGUAUUAUUAGUAAUGCAUGUGUUCUUUGUCCAUGUUUUAAGGUGAGGUUCCAUUGGAUAUUCUCUAGGGAUUGUCCUGUGGAACUUCACUAGGCAGGACCACCUAGGAGAUCCUGGGAAGAUUCCCGGGGCAGGUCCUGUCAAAGUCAAAACCCUGGUCCAAGCGCAAGUUAAGAAACUCCAAGCCCAAUCCAAAGAAUGGAUAUAUCUUCAGAUGAUGAAUCACUGCCAAGAAAGGUACGCUUACUUGUAGAUAUCUAUGAAUUUACUAAUAUGGCAUUUUUGGCAUGUGAGCCUCAAAAUUUUGAAGAAGCAAUAAAUGAAGAUGGAUUAAAGUAAUGGAUGAAGAAAUUGUAACAAGUGGAAAAAAUGAUACAUGGGAACUGGUGAAUCUACCUGAAGGCAAAGAUGUUAUUGGACUCAAAUGGAUCUGGAAACCCAAGUACAAAGAAGAUGGAACAAUUCUAAAGUACAAAGCAUGGCUAGUAGCCAAAGGCUGUUCGCAAUAGCCAGGAAUCAACUUCAACAAGACAUUCGCACCAAUUGCUCAAAUGGAAAUUGUUAGAAUAGUCCUCGCAUUAGCUGCUCAAAUGGAGGUACCCUUUAUCAACUGGAUGUCAAAUCUGCCUUCCUUAUUGGAGAACUCAAAGAGGAAGUAUAUGUGGAACAACCUUUAGGCUACACCAUCAAAGAAAAAGAAAACAAAGUCUUAUGAUUAAAGAAGGCACUAUAUGGACUAAAGUAAGCACCACGAGCUUGGAACAGCAAAAUUGAUUCAUACUUCAAACAAAAUGGAUUUCAAUGGAGUCUAAGUGAGCCUUCCUUAUAUGUCAAAAUAGAAGGUGUGCAAGAUAUUCUCAUUGUCUGCUUAUAUGUUGAUGAUUUGAUUUAUACUGAUGCUAAUCAAAAAAUGGUAGAAGAAUUCAAAAGUGCAAUGAUGAAAGAAUAUGAGAUGACAGAUCUUUGCUUGAUGAAAUAUUUUCUUGGCAUCCAAGUUCAAUAAGCAAAAGGAGAAAUAUUUAUUUCUCAAGAAAAAUAUUUUAAAUGAUCUUCUCAAACGGUUUCAUAUGGACAAAUGUAAACCAGUAUCUAUGCUAAUGGCGUUAAAUGAAAAGUUACGUAAGAAUGAUGGCGCAGAGAAAGUUGAUGCAAAAAAUUAUAGAAGUUUAGUUGGAUGCCUCAUUUGUCUAACAAAUACCAAGCCAGAUAUUGUUUUUGCUGUUAGUUAUGUUUCCAGAUUCAUGCACGAGCCUAGUAACAAUCACUACACUGUAGUAAAGAGAAUCCUUCGUUAUCUACAAGGUACCGGAAAGCUUGGAAUUAACUAUGCCAAAGAUGCAGAUAACAAGCUCAUUGGAUAUAAAGAUAGUGACUAGGCAGGCUCUGUAGAUGACCACAAAACCACCUCAGGAUAUUUAUUUUUCUUGGGUACAAAACUAAUUUCUUGGUCAUCAAAGAAGUAAAGGACCGUGGUAUUAUCUUCAGUAGAAGCAGAAUAUAUAUCUGCUACAGAUGCAGCAAAGUGAAGCAGUAUGGCUGAGAAGAAUUUUAUCAGAUAUGCAACAUAAAGAAAGUGCUCCAACAAUCAUUAGGUGUGAUAAUAUGUCAGCAAUAGCAAUGACAAAAAAUCCAAUGUUCCACAGCAGGACAAAGCACAUAGAAAUUCAACAUCACUUCAUUAGAUAUUGGUCGAAGAAGAAGAAAUUAAACUUGAAUUUGUUAACACAUCUGAGCAACUAGCAAACAUUUUUACAAAGCUGAUAACAAUGGAGAAGCUAGAAAGAUUUCAAUAGCUUUGCCAAAAUUACAAAUUAAGAGGGGGUGUUAAAAAGUAAAAUAAUAAUUAUUAAAAUAAUAAUUUGUAAUUUCAUGGCAAAGUGUUUGUAAGAGGAUGAGAGGAUGACUUAAGCAAGAAAGCAUCAUUAGCCUUAUCCAUUAAGCCACUUUUGUUGACACAGUAGAAGCUAUCAUGAUAGAAGACAAAUUCAAUUUAAACUCUACCACUUUAGGAGAAAUCAAGUUAAAUUUGUACUCUACCUUAGAAGAACUCAAUUUCAAGUUGAACUCUACCAAAGGAGAAUUCAAUUUCAAUUAGAAUUCCACCUCCUUUUCUCCUCUAUAUAUAUGCAUUUAGGCUUGUUGUAAAAUUUGAUCCCAUUUUGUAAAAAGAGAGAGCUUUAAUUCUCUUCCUCUCAAUUGUAUUGUCUUGGGUCCACUCUUUCUUUAAACUCCUCUAUUUUAUCCAAGUUUAAUUUUAAAUACAUUCUGCAUUUAUCCAACAGCCUCUGCAGAUGACAACGAUACAAUCUUUUGCUUCUUUGUUGACCCAGAUGUGACUUUUGUUCCCAAACAAAACACAUAGCCAGAAGUGCUUUUUCUAUCAACAAUAGAACCAGCCCAAUCACCAUUUGUGUAACCUUUCAGUUUACUUUCUUCUUCUUUCUUGUAUAAGAUGCCAAAAUUCUUUGUUCAUUUUAUGUAUCUUAGAAUCCUUUUAGUUGCUACAAAAUGCUCCUUGCUUGGGCUGUCCAUGAAUCUGGAAACAACACUGAUAGAGAAAAUAAUAUUUGGCCUUGUGUUUGUCCAAUAAAUAAGUAAUCCAACAAGACUCCUAUAAAUUGAUUCAACAAAUUUUCUUUUUCCAUCAUAUCUUGAUAAACUUUCACUUGGGUUCAUGGGAGUUUGUGCAACAUUGCAUUUAGGCAAAUUAAACCUUUUAAACAAAUCAUCUGUAAAUUUCUCCUGGGACAGAAAUUUUCUUCCUGGCUUUUACUUUACUUGAAUGCCCAAAAGAUACCUCAUAAGAUCAAGAUCGGUCAUCUCAAAUUCCUUCAUCAUAGCUUUUUUGAAAUCUUGAAUCAUUUGAUUAUUGGUUCCCAUAUAAAUUAAAUCAUCAACUUAAAGGCAUACAAUGAGAAAAUUAUGUGUACCUUGCAUUUUCACAUAAAGUGAUGGCUCAUUUGGACUUUUCGAAAACCAUGUUGCUCAAAAUAUUGAUCAAUUCUGCUAUUCCAUACAUGAGGUGCUUGCUUCAGUCCCCAUAUAAAGCCUUCUAAAGAUGGUGCAGAAGUGUCGGAGGCUGUUGCGAGCACCCUUUGGCCACAAGUCUUGCCUUGUAUUUUUGAAUUAAACCAUCCUCAUUGAAUUUUGUUUUAUCCAUUCUUCAUCCAUUGCUUUUUUCAAAGCUUGAUCUUUCACAAGCUUCUUCAUACUUCUGUGACUCAUGGGAAAUGUAAGCAACAUCACAAUUUUGAUAAACUUUUCUAUUGAGCGUACCUUCCUUGGUGGUGUUGAUGAAUGUGUGCCUGGAUUGAUGUUUUGUUGCUGUCUUCGACUUGCCGGUGGAGUGUCUUCUUGCUAUCUUGGACUUUCUAGUGGAGUGCUAAAUGUAUUUUCCUCAAUCCUUUUCGAUGUUCCAGAUGCUUUAAAUAAGGGGUUUUUGGAAGCUCCUCAUGGUUCUGUUUUCAAGCUCCGUUUUCAUAAAAAAUUACAUCUUUUGACGUUACUUGUUCCCUUGAAUUAGGAUUAUAUGAACGAUAUCCCUUGGACUCUUCAGUGUACCCAAUGAAGAUACAUUUCUCACCUUUCUCAUCAAAUUUUUUCCUGUUAUGUGAAGGUAUAUGGUAGUAAUAAACAUAACCAAGAACUUUUCAAUGAUCAACCAGUGGCUUUCUCUUGAACCAAGCCUCAUAUGGAGUAAUAUUUUGUACAGCUUUUGUAGGAGACCUGUUUAGAAUAUAAACUGCUAAAUUGAUAGCUUCUGCCCAAAACUCAUUUGGCAAAUUUUUUACCAUUAAGCAUACACUACGGGCAACUAGCUAAUUAGUGACGCAAAUUUUUUACCAUGUCACCUAAUGUCUUGUCACUAAAAACAUUCUACCAAUGGCGAGGUAUAAAUCAAAGUUGCCUAAUUAUGACGAAACAGCGAUGCCGUAUAAAAUCACAUCGCUAAAUGUAAAGACGCUGGUGACUCUAAAAAUAGAGGAAUCCCCGACUCUAAACACUUACAUUGCUAAUUUCUAGCAUUUGUAGCGACACGUACAUACUGCAUCACUGUUUUGCCCAAAUUAAUGCGUCGCUAAUAUGGAAGAAACAGCGACUCUACAUUUAUGAGUCGCUAAUCGUGACUUAUUAUAUUUCGUCACUUUUUUAUGUAAACUAUGCGUCGCUAAUAUGGAAGAAACAGCGACCCUAUAUUUAUGAGUCACUAAUUGUAUGACUUUUUAGCGACUUAUUAUACUUCGUCACUGUUUUAUGUAAAUUUAUGUGUCGCUAAGUUGUAGAAUUUUUAGCGACUUGUAUAGUUGUACAUCGCCUUUUACUUAAAACUACAUGUCACUAAUUUCAUAUAUGUUUAACCUUUAGUGACUUUUUUUUUUUUGCUUCGCUAUAUAUUUAAAUAAAGCAUCGCUAAAGGUUGAAAAUGGUGACCAGGUUGUUAUUGUGCAUCGCCAUAGGUCAAAGUUGUUUUUAUGCGUCGCUAAAUGAUCCUUUUAGUGCCAACCUUCUUCUUGUA